rnacentral:rRNA from 1 species
UGGGGAAACCCAGUGUGACUCGUCACACUAUCAUUAACUGAAUCCAUAGGUUAAUGAGGCGAACCGGGGGAACUGAAACAUCUAAGUACCCCGAGGAAAAGAAAUCAACCGAGAUUCCCCCAGUAGCGGCGAGCGAACGGGGAGGAGCCCAGAGCCUGAAUCAGCAUGUGUGUUAGUGGAAGCGUCUGGAAAGGCGCGCGAUACAGGGUGACAGCCCCGUACACAAAAGCGCAURUGCUGUGAGCUCGAUGAGUAGGGCGGGACACGUGGUAUCCUGUCUGAAUAUGGGGGGACCAUCCUCCAAGGCUAAAUACUCCUGACUGACCGAUAGUGAACCAGUACCGUGAGGGAAAGGCGAAAAGAACCCCGGCGAGGGGAGUGAAAAAGAACCUGAAACCGUGUACGUACAAGCAGUGGGAGCACAGGUUUACCUGUGUGACUGCGUACCUUUUGUAUAAUGGGUCAGCGACUUAUAUUCUGUAGCAAGGUUAACCGAAUAGGGGAGCCGGAGGGAAACCGAGUCUUAAUUGGGCGUUAAGUUGCAGGGUAUAGACCCGAAACCCGGUGAUCUAGCCAUGGGCAGGUUGAAGGUUGGGUAACACUAACUGGAGGACCGAACCGACUAAUGUUGAAAAAUUAGCGGAUGACCUGUGGCUGGGGGUGAAAGGCCAAUCAAACCGGGAG